rnacentral:rRNA from 1 species
GACGAACGCUGGCGGCGUGCCUAAUACAUGCAAGUCGUGCGGACCUUGUUGAAAGCUUGCUUUUAAAAGGUUAGCGGCGGACGGGUGAGGAACACGUGGGCAACCUGCCUGUAAGACUGGGAUAACGCCGGGAAACCGGGGCUAAUACCAGAUCGUUUUUUCCUCCGCAUGGAGGAAAAAGGAAAGGCGGCUUCGGCUGCCACUUACAGAUGGGCCCGCGGCGCAUUAGCCAGUUGGCGGGGUAAUGGCCCACCAAGGCAACGAAGCGUAGCCGACCUGGGAGGGUGGACGGCCCCAUUGGGACUGAGAAACGGCCCAAAACCCUACGGGAGGCAGCAGGAGGGAAACUUCCGCAAUGGGCGACAGGCUGACGGCACCACGCCGCGGGAGUGAAGAAGGCCUUCGGGUCGUAAAAGUCUGUUGCCGGGGAAGAAAAAGUGCCGUUCGAACAGGGCGGCGCCUUGACGGUACCCGGACAGAAAGCCACGGCUAACUACGUG